rnacentral:rRNA from 1 species
GACGAACGCUGGCGGCGUGCUUAACACAUGCAAGUCGAACGGAAAGGCCCUGCUUGCAGGGUACUCGAGUGGCGAACGGGUGAGUAACACGUGGGUGAUCUGCCCUGCACUUCGGGAUAAGCCUGGGAAACUGGGUCUAAUACCGGAUAGGAGCCAUUUUUAGUGUGAUGGUUGGAAAGUUUUUUCGGUGUAGGAUGAGCUCGCGGCCUAUCAGCUUGUUGGUGGGGUAAUGGCCUACCAAGGCGGCGACGGGUAGCCGGCCUGAGAGGGUGGACGGCCACAUUGGGACUGAGAUACGGCCAAGACUCCUACGGGGGGCAGCAGGGGGGAAUAUUGCACAAGGGGCGCAAGCCUGAUGCAGCGACGCCGCGUGGGGGAUGACGGCCUUCGGUUUGUAAACCCCUUUCGCUAGGGACGAAGCUUUUUGGGACGGGACCUAGAGAAGAAGCCCCGGCGAAUUGCGU